AACGAACGCUGGCGGCAUGCCUAACACAUGCAAGUCGAACGAACUCUUCGGAGUUAGUGGCGCACGGGUGCGUAACGCGUGGGAAUCUGCCCUUGGGUACGGAAUAACUCAGAGAAAUUUGUGCUAAUACCGUAUAAUGUCUUCGGACCAAAGAUUUAUCGCCCAAGGAUGAGCCCGCGUAAGAUUAGCUAGUUGGUGGGGUAAAGGCCUACCAAGGCUACGAUCUUUAGCUGGUCUGAGAGGAUGAUCAGCCACACUGGGACUGAGACACGGCCCAGACUCUACGGGAGGCAGCAGUGGGGAAUAUUGGACAAUGGGCGAAAGCCUGAUCCAGCAAUGCCGCGUGAGUGAUGAAGGCCUUAGGGUUGUAAAGCUCUUUUACCCGGGAUGAUAAUGACAGUACCGGGAGAAUAAGCUCCGGCUAACUCCGUGC
rnacentral:rRNA from 1 species